UCCCCUAUGGCGCAAUAGGUGGCGCGUCCGACUGUUAAUCGGAAGGUCGGAAGUUCGAGCCUUCCUGGGGGAG
rnacentral:tRNA from 1 species